rnacentral:lncRNA from 1 species
UGAAACUACAGAGACACUACAUAAAACUAUGGAGAAACUAAGGAGAGACUACAUGAAACUAAGGACUACAUGAAACUAAGGAGGCACUACAUGAAACUAAGGAGGCACUACAUGAAACUACAGAGACACUACAUGAAACUACAGAGACACUACAUAAAACUAUGGAGAAACUAAGGAGAGACUACAUGAAACUAAGGAGAGACUACAUGAAACUAAGGAGAGACUACAUGAAACUAAGGAGGCACUACAUUAAACUAAGGAGACACUACAUGAAACUAAGGAGACACUACAUGAAACUAAGGAGACUACAUGAAACUAAGGAGACUACAUGAAACUAAGGAGACUACAUGAAACUAUGGAGACUCUAUGAAACUAAGGAGGCACUACAUUAAACUAAGGAGACUAUGAAACUUAGGAGACUACAUGAAACUAAUGAGAUUACAUGAAACUAAGGAGACACUACAUAAAACUAUGGAGAAACUAAGGAGACACUACAUGAAACUAAGGAGACAACAUGAAACUACAGAGACACUACAUAAAACUACAGAGACACUACAUGAAACUAAGGAGAGACUACAUGAAACUAAGGAGGCACUACAUGAAACUAAGGAGACAACAUGAAACUACAGAGACACUACAUGAAACUGAGGACUAUCACAAGAACAGACACCUGGGCUGGAGCCGAGGCUCAGUGGCCUACUGUGCAGUCUCUCAUCUCUUCUCUCUCUGACUGUGUCUUUCUCUUUCUCAUCCCUCUCUCUCUCUCAGAUGAUGGGAAUAUCGUCCAUGUUAGUGGGGUUGGGAAACCCUUUGGUCCUUGCUGUUUCGAGGGGGAUAUCAUGGGCUGUGGCAUCAUGUUCCCAUGAGACUACAGACUUGGUGAAAAUAACGUCAAUGACACAGGUGCACAUUUUCAAUUCAAAUUAAUAGAUCUUUAUUAUUCGAGAAUGGAGAUUUGUUUACAAUAGAGGAAGUUAAAAGAGUUUCCAAUGUCACUUGUUCCCAUUAAUGAUAUACCAGUUCCUCCCUGAAACCAACAGAUGUGAUGUAGAACAAAAGGACAUAGUGACACUUGCCUAAAUUGAGAUUGAAUGGGAGAUGAGUCAGCCGUCUGGGCCGAAUCUUAAUUUCCGUAGAAUUUUCACUUCGGCUGCAUUUACACAGGAAGCACAAUGAGGAUAUUUUACACAUGCACACAGAGAC